GCUUCUCAAAAUCAAACUUCAGUUUCAAAAUUGUCUACAGAGUGCCCCUGAAGCAUCCAGAAGAGAGGUAAACAGGAUUAUUUAACAUGUUAAGGACACAAUUGGAGAAACUGAUUGUUUGACCAAGGCUGUGGCUGGACGGAUGUGCUUCCCUUUAUGGAAAUCAAGCUUGACUUGCAAAGCCAAUAAAAGCCCAUUGAGAGAACUGGCUUCAUACCAUGUCUACACAGCCUCUGUACAGGGUUCCUAACCUGUGCUGAGUAAAGAAUGUCACUUUUUAACAGAGCCAGGAACCCCAUGUUCUUGGAACCUCAAAAAAAA
rnacentral:lncRNA from 10 species